rnacentral:piRNA from 2 species
UGACAGAAUCUGCUUACAAGGUGAUAGCUGU